UACGUAGGGAGCGAGCGUUGUCCGGAUUUAUUGGGCGUAAAGAGCGCGUAGGCGGCUCGGUAAGCCGGAUGUGAAACCUCCAAGCUCAACUUGGAGCGGCCAUUCGGAACUGCUGUGGCUAGAGUCUGGUAGGGGAACACGGAAUUCCUGGUGUAGCGGUGAAAUGCUUAGAUAUCAGGAGGAACACCAGUGGCGAAGGCGGUGUUCUGGGCCAGUACUGACGCUGAGGAGCGAAAGCGUGGGGAGCGAACAGG
rnacentral:rRNA from 1 species